rnacentral:rRNA from 1 species
UACGUAGGGGGCUAGCGCUGUCCGGAAUCAUUGGGCGUAAAGAGCGUGUAGGCGGUCCGGUAAGUCCGCUGUGAAAGUCGGGGGCUCAACCCUCGAAUGCCGGUGGAUACUGUCGGGCUAGAGUGCGGAAGAGGCGAGUGGAAUUCCUGGUGUAGCGGUGAAAUGCGCAGAUAUCAGGAGGAACACCUAUUGCGAAGGCAGCUCGCUGGGACGUUACUGACGCUGAGACGCGAAAGCGUGGGGAGCAAACAGG